UUUGCUUCUCAGCAUUUUGGCUAAGAUUAAGUAUAGUAUUUGUUCUUAUCAGUUUAAUAUAUGAAUUUUAAAUGGAGUAUAAUCUAUAAAAAUACUGAAUCACUGUGGUGUAGACCUAAA
rnacentral:snRNA from 1 species